UACGUAGGGGGCAAGCGUUGUCCGGAUUUAUUGGGCGUAAAGAGCGUGUAGGCGGCCAGGUAGGUCAGCUGUGAAAACUCGAGGCUCAACCUCGAGACGUCGGUUGAAACCACUUGGCUAGAGUCCGGAAGAGGAGAGUGGAAUUCCUGGUGUAGCGGUGAAAUGCGCAGAUAUCAGGAAGAACACCCGUGGCGAAGGCGGCUCUCUGGGACGGUACUGACGCUGAGGAGCGAAAGCGUGGGGAGCGAACAGG
rnacentral:rRNA from 1 species